UACGUAGGGGGGCAAGCGUUGUUCGGAAUUACUGGGCGUAAAGCGAGUGUAGGCGGUGUGGUAAGUCGGAUGUGAAAGCCCCCGGGCUCAACCCGGGAAGUGCACUCGAUACUGCCACGCUAGAGUAUCGGAGAGGUUGGUGGAAUUCUCGGUGUAGAGGUGAAAUUCGUAGAUAUCGAGAGGAACACCGGUGGCGAAGGCGGCCAACUGGACGAAUACUGACGCUGAGACUCGAAAGCGUGGGGAGCAAACAGG
rnacentral:rRNA from 1 species